rnacentral:rRNA from 1 species
GUGAACGCUGGCGGCGUGCCUAAUACAUGCAAGUCGAGCGAACGGACGAGAAGCUUGCUUCUCUGAUGUUAGCGGCGGACGGGUGAGUAACACGUGGAUAACCUACCUAUAAGACUGGGAUAACUUCGGGAAACCGGAGCUAAUACCGGAUAAUAUUUUGAACCGCAUGGUUCAAAAGUGAAAGACGGUCUUGCUGUCACUUAUAGAUGGAUCCGCGCUGCAUUAGCUAGUUGGUAAGGUAACGGCUUACCAAGGCAACGAUGCAUAGCCGACCUGAGAGGGUGAUCGGCCACACUGGAACUGAGACACGGUCCAGACUCCUACGGGAGGCAGCAGUAGGGAAUCUUCCGCAAUGGGCGAAAGCCUGACGGAGCAACGCCGCGUGAGUGAUGAAGGUCUUCGGAUCGUAAAACUCUGUUAUUAGGGAAGAACAUAUGUGUAAGUAACUGUGCACAUCUUGACGGUACCUAAUCAGAAAGCCACGGCUAACUACGUG